GUCAGCUGGGAUGUUCCUGGAGCUCACAUUUACAUGGGAGAAGUUUGUCGGUGAGUAUAACUCUGGGAAUAUGAAGGGGACCUUCUAGAUGGUUUAGGGGAUGAUGCCAGCUGGAAUGUUCCUGAAGCUCACAAUGACAUGGAUGAAGUUGGUGAGUAUAACUUUUUAUAUUUGUAAAUAUAUCUAUACAUUAUUGUGUGUGUACUUUAAAUUAAAGUUACUAUAAUGUUUAUAGGUGUUGCUGCCCAUGAGGGAUUGCGCAGUGGAGCACAGUGGCGUUGGAUCUUAUUCAAAAUGUGACAGAGCUGUCCAAGGACGCAUAUGUAAAUCCUGCAGAGGAAAGUGCAGAGGAAGAUGAGGACCAUUUUUUACUCUUCAUUUGGAGCCAGCUGAGAAAGAAUCAGAAGACACAGAGCAGAAGCAAGUGGGCAAUUUGGAAGGCCCUUAGCAGCAGCAAAUAGCAGAUACACAGCUGGCAGGGCCAUUAUGUCAAAGAACUUCCAAAAAAUCUGGACAGAUUUGAAAUAAAUGUUAAAUAUUGUCUUGAAA